rnacentral:rRNA from 1 species
GUAGGUGGCAAGCGUUGUCCGGAAUUAUUGGGCGUAAAGCGCGCGCAGGCGGGUUCUUUAAGUCUGAUGUGAAAGCCCACGGGCUCAACCGUGGAGGGUCAUUGGAAACUGGAGAACUUGAGUACAGAAGAGGAAAGCGGAAUUCCACGUGUAGCGGUGAAAUGCGUAGAGAUGUGGAGGAACACCAGUGGCGAAGGCGGCUUUCUGGUCUGUAACUGACGCUGAGGCGCGAAAGCGUGGGGAGCAAACAGGAUUAGAUACCCUGGUAGUCCACGCCGUAAACGAUGAGUGCUAGUGUUAGGGGGUUUCCGCCCCUUAGUGCCGCAGCUAACGCAUUAAGCACUCCGCCUGGGGAGUACGGCCGCAAAGGCUG